rnacentral:rRNA from 1 species
UGUCAAGAGGGAAACAGCCCAGACUACUGUCUAAGGUCCCUAAUUAAUAACUAAGUGGAAAAGGAUGUGAGGUUGCUGAGACAACCAGGAGGUUGGCUUAGAAGCAGCCACUCCUUUAAAGAGUGCGUAAUAGCUCACUGGUCAAGCGACCUUGCGCCUAAAAUUCAACGGGGCUAAGUUAUUAACCGAAGACGUAGAUUUAUUUAUAAAUGGUAGCGGAGCGUUCUGUAUGUUGCUGAAGGUGAAGGGUGACCUUUGCUGGAGAUAUCAGAAGUGAAAAUGUUGGUAUGAGUAACGUAAGGGAGAUGAAAACUCUCCCCGCCAAAAACCUAAGGUUUCCUACGCAACGUCAGUCGACGUAGGGUUAGUCGGUCCUAAGGUGUACCCGAAAGGGGAAGCUGAUGGAUAUCAGGUUAAUAUUCCUGAACUACUUAUAUUUUUCUAAGGGGGGACAUAUCGGGAUAUAGAAGACACUUAAUUACUCGUGUUACGAAAGUAAGUCUUAAGUUAUAGGAAAAUCCGUAACUUUUUAAGGACGAACCUAGUUAUACCCAACUUUUUUCUUCGGAAAAAAUGAAGGUUGCUUCUACUAUAUUCUGGUAUCGAGAAAAGCCUCUAUGAUUUAAGAUAUAAGUAACCGUACCGUAAACGAACACUCGUAGGUUAGUGGAGAACACUAAGGUGAACGAGAUAACUAUGCUUAAGGAACUCGGCAAAACAGCGGUCGUAACUUCGGGAUAAGACCUGCCUUUAGAGUAUUUUACUUUAGAGGCCGCAGCGAAAGAACUCAGGCGACUGUUUACCAAAAACACAGCUCUCUGCAAACUCGUAAGAGGAUGUAUAGGGGGUGAUGCCUGCCCAGUGCCAGAAGGUUACGUGGAUGUGUUCACGCACUGAAAUUAAGCCCUGGUGAACGGCGGCCGUAACUAUAACGGUCCUAAGGUAGCGAAAUUCCUUGUCGGGUAAGUUCCGACCCGCACGAAUGGCAUAACGGUCUGAGUACUGUCUCAAGCAUAGACUCGGUGAAAUUGCAAUAUCGGUAAAAAUGCCGAUUACCUGCAGCAAGACGGAAAGACCCUAUGGAGCUUUACUAUAGCUUGGUAUUGGGUUAUGUUUUAAGAUGUGCAGUAUAGGUGGGAGACUUUGAAGUAGUGUCGCUAGACAUUAUGGAGUCACAAUGUGAGAUACCACCCUUCUUAAAAUGUAACCCUAACCCUAUCAUUAGGGAACAGUGCUUGGUGGGUAGUUUAACUGGGGCGGUUGCCUCCUAAAGAGUAACGGAGGCGCACAAAGGUUGACUAUCUCCGGAUGGAAAUCGGAGAGAUAGUGUAUUCGCAUAAGUCAGCUUGACUGAGAGACCUACAAGUCGAUCAGACACGAAAGUGGGUGAAAGUGAUCCGGCACUAACGCAUGGAAGUGGUGUCGCUCAACGGAUAAAAGUUACCCUAGGGAUAACAGGCU